GACGAACCGUGCGAACGUUGUUCGGAAUCACUGGGCUUAAAGGGCGCAUAGGCGGGCUGGUAAGUCCGGGGUGAAAUCCUGCAGCUCAACUGCAGAAGUGCCUUGGAUACUGCCAGUCUCGAGGGAGGUAGGGGCAUGUGGAACUUCCGGUGGAGCGGUGAAAUGCGUAGAUAUCGGAAGGAACGCCGGUGGCGAAAGCGACGUGCUGGACUUCUACUGACGCUGAGGCGCGAAAGCCAGGGGAGCGAACGGG
rnacentral:rRNA from 1 species